rnacentral:rRNA from 1 species
GACGAACGCUGGCGGCGUGCUUAACACAUGCAAGUCGAACGGAGUGGCGAACGGGUGAGUAACACGUGGGUGAUCUGCCUUGCACUUCGGGAUAAGCUUGGGAAACUGGGUCUAAUACCGGAUAGUGCAAGAUGAGCUCGCGGCCUAUCUGCUUGUUGGUGGGGUAAUGGCCUACCAAGGCGUCGACGGGUAGCCGGCCUGGGAGGGUGUACGGCCACAUUGGUACUGAGAGACGGAGCAGACGCCUACGGUGGGCAGCAGUGGCGAGUAUGGCGCAAUGGGGGGGAGCCUAAUGAGGCGGCGCCGGGUGGGGGAUGAAGGCCUUCGGGUUGUAAACUCCUUUCGACAGGGACGCGGUACCUGUAUAAGAAGCACCGGCUAACUACGUGCCAGCAGCCGCGGUAAUAC